rnacentral:rRNA from 1 species
AUUGAACGCUGGCGGCAUGCCUUACACAUGCAAGUCGAACGGCAGCACGGGAGUAAUCCUGGUGGCGAGUGGCGAACGGGUGAGUAAUAUAUCGGAACGUGCCCAGUCGUGGGGGAUAACGCAGCGAAAGCUGUGCUAAUACCGCAUACGAUCUCUGGAUGAAAGCGGGGGACCGUAAGGCCUCGCGCGAUUGGGGCGGCCGAUAUCAGAUUAGCUAGUUGGUGGGGUAAAGGCCCACCAAGGAGAAGAUCUGUAGCUGGUCUGAGAGGACGACCAGCCACACUGGAACUGAGACACGGUCCAGACUCCUACGGGAGGCAGCAGUGGGGAAUUUUGGACAAUGGGCGCAAGCCUGAUCCAGCAAUGCCGCGUGCAGGAUGAAGGCCUUCGGGUUGUAAACUGCUUUUGUACGGAACGAAACGGCGAGCUCUAAUAAAGUUUGCUAAUGACGGUACCGUAAGAAUAAGCACCGGCUAACUACGUGCCAGCAGCCGCAGUAA